UACGUAGGGUGCAAGCGUUGUCCGGAAUUAUUGGGCGUAAAGAGCUCGUAGGCGGUUUGUCGCGUCUGCUGUGAAAACGCGAGGCUCAACCUCGGGCCUGCAGUGGGUACGGGCAGACUAGAGUGCGGUAGGGGAGAUUGGAAUUCCUGGUGUAGCGGUGGAAUGCGCAGAUAUCAGGAGGAACACCAAUGGCGAAGGCAGAUCUCUGGGCCGUAACUGACGCUGAGGAGCGAAAGCAUGGGGAGCGAACAGG
rnacentral:rRNA from 1 species